GUAUCUUUUCUGUUAUACAAUGUUACUUCAGCUUUACAAAGUGAAGACUUUUCUAAUUUGCCCUUGUUUUUAUUCAUGGUCAUCGUAGAUUUUAGAAAAGGACAAAUCAUAUUAAAUAUUUUACUUUACUUUUUUACUUCAUAUUUUCUUCCUUCUUUUCCUUUACUUUUUCCUCCUUCCUUUUCCUCUGUUACUGAAGUACAUCCUCAGGAUCUUUCCCUCAUCACAGAAGAGAUUCAGACUUUCAAACAGAAAUCAAGGUUAGAGAAAAAAUGACUCGGCCAAUGUCACCCAGCAAGCUUUGUGUCUAAAUUGGGACUAUAACACACUUUCUAGCCUGAUGCCUUAAAUACUACACCAAGCUGGCUCUCAAAUAAAAACUUUUAUCUGACCACAAA